ensembl:snRNA U6 U6 spliceosomal RNA
AUGCUUAUUUCAUCAUCAUGCAUGCUAAAGUUGUAAUGAUACAGAGAAGAUUAGCAUGGCCCCUGGACAAUAAUGACAUGCAAAUUUAUGAAGUGUUUCAUAAUUUU